UUUUUUUUUUUUUUUUUUCUUCUUGGUAUUUAGUUUUUCUUUCUGGUGAGUGGAAUGAAAGGCAGAAUUAUGCUCUACUCACUGAAAUCUUUUGAAAUGCCACUAUGCUUUCCCCAAUCUUCUGGAUAACACUAAAGGAAAUCAAUAGAGAUCUUCCUAGGUGAAGGGAGUUUGACUGGCUAAUGUAUCACUCAUUUUGUUUUCACUGGUUAGGAGGUAGAACAUUGUUAAAUAUUUGCUAUAAUUCUUUCUUGGGUAUUUAAAGUUGCUUCAGUGGCAUAUUUUAUUAUAUAUAUCAACAACAAUGGUCGUCCUCGAGGAAAAAUAAACUGAAAUUAUAAUUUAGAUGUCUCUUUUUUUAAAAAUAUAGUGGAAGAUUACCCUGAGAUAAGCGUGGACUAUGGGUUGGACAUAUCUCAAAAAUAUGUUCUCUGUACCUGUGCUUUGGGCUGAUUUCAAUUUAGUUGAAUCUAUGAAUUAUUUUAUUAAGAAUUUGCUCUAAUUUAGUGGAUGUUACAGUGGGGAGGGGAGGGAAAUGUGGGUGCAAUUUCCAUGGUGGCCCGUAACCUCCACAGAGAUCAAGUCCAAUCUCUAUGAAGACUACCGGCCACCAUGUACUACACGACAUCAAGUACUACAGAGCUGUCCUGUGAACAUUCUAAAGGCUAAAACUACUGGAGAAGGAAGAGUUUAUGAAAAAUUAAUGUCGGAUUGGGUCUGAAAUCCUGGGUAGGCUUUAGAUCAGUGGAGAGAAAUGAAAACUAGCAGACAGACAAGCAAUGACCAGGACACAAAGCAGCAGUGAGCAUGCCCCAUAUAUGAAGUACUGUGGAGAAGAUGCUUGCUAGGUACUUAUAAGGCAAAUCUGUAUCAUGGAGGAGCUUGAAUCUCAGGAAGAGAAUCUUGCCUUGUUUUGAGAGGCGCUGGAGAAACUUUGCUGGAGACUUUGAGAAGAUUACACUGACAGGGAUGUGCAGGAAAAAAAAAUGGAGGGAGGUAGGAUCAACAUUUCAAAAAUCACUUGGAAACUUACUACAACAUUCCUGCUUACGUGGCCCCCAAAUAGUGGUUGCUAAAAAGAAAAGAGAGCUAAAGAAAAACAAGAUGGUAGAACAGUGCUUGACUUCAUUGUACGUUUAUUCACAGGUACCAUUUGGAGACCUCCCUGGGCCGUAGGUAUCAGUAUCCAAUACUGGCCCUGCCCUUACGGGGUGUAAAUUGUAGGAGACCAGAACCAGGACUGAGGUUGAGACCUAUGUGUGGAUUUUUUUAGCAAAGCUUUAAGUCAAAUGACUCUUGCAGAAUGUGAAACAGAAUCCAGAAGAAUACAUGCAAGCAUGUUACAAAGCGUUUAGGUUGCUCUUUUAUCCUUAAAGAGCCUGAAGAGCAUGUAGGAAAAACAGCAGGGAGUAAAAUGUGCUUGGUGAGACUCCAUCUCCAUCAGCCUCAGCAGUGGCCAAAGAUUGACCUCUGAACCCUCAAAGCUCCACCCUCCAUCCUAGCAAUCUUCUGGUAUCAAAACUGCUGGAAAAGCUCUGGAGCAGUCAUCAUAAGUCUCCUGAUUGAAUCUUGACUCUGUUCCUUGCUUAGUAUUAUGAUCUUGGGAUGUCAUUGAUACUCAGAGUCUCAGUCAGCUUCAUUUAUAAAAUGAGGCUAAUAUCACCCACUUGGCAAACUCAGGGGAUUAUCAGGAAGAUCAAGUAGAAAAUAUAUAUCAAGGCCACCAGGGCCUAAUGAUGGUGACGGAGAGAGGAGGAAAAAUGAAGAACUCUAUUUGGUAAUUCUUUGUUUUUCCUAGUUAUCAGAUUGUGAAUUUUUAAAGGAUACAUGAGAAUCAUUCUCAUGGUCAGAAUUUCAAGCCUUAGUCUAAAAAAUGCCUUAAUAUAAAGAAGCAGUUCUGGUCUAGUUAAAUGUUAGUUAAAUGCUUUUGUUGGGGAAUGCCUUUUUUAGCUCCAAAUGAAAACUUAUAUGGUAUAACUUGAAUACAUUAAAAAAAAAAAAGUGAAUCAUUUUUAGUGUAAAGAGGUUUUUUUAAAAAAAACAAAUUUAUGAAGUUCCCGUUGUGGCAUAGGGAAAAUGAAUCUGGCUAGUAUCCGUGGGGAUGCAGGUUUGCUCCCUGGCUUCCCUCAGUGGGUCAGGGAUCUAGUGUUGCUGUGAGUGGUGUAGGUCGCAUAUGCGACUCGAAUCCUGUGCAUUGCUGGGGCUGUGGCGUAGGCAGGCAGCUGUAGCUCCAAUUCAACCCCUAGCCUGGGAUCUUACAUAUGCCAUGAGUGUGGUCCUAAAAAGCAAAAACAAAAAAAGGUAAUUACUAUAAAAUCAGUCAUUGAGAAUAAUGAAGUUUUUCUGAUUAACACUAAAUUAGAAAUGAGGAUUUUAUAUCUAUAUCAACCUCUUAUUUUGUAUUUUUUUUCCUUCAGUUGCACAGUGUCAAAACAAUUCUGACUCACAUGGAUACGUCGUUAAAAUGAUCAUAACUGUAUUUAUCAGCUUGAAUUCUCCGUAGAAUCUUUAACUAGGAAGAAGAAGAAAAGCUUUGCUUUAAUGUCUGAGCACAAAAACAAAGUUAACUGACAACACAGACUCACACAUAGAGGAAGAAAUAGGUUAAAUAUGGCAUGCAUUGCAUGAGUGUAAGUUUCUUUUUAACAAAGUGUUUUAAAUAGUGGAAAAAACAGCAUUGCUUGGGUCAAAUAUUUGUGGAACUUUUGAAAGAACUCUCUGGAACCUUCAGUGUCUACAGAAUUGUGUCAGUAGCUGGCCACAUGCAUUGAGCACAGGAUAUUCUUCUGAGCACUAUUUGUGGUUUAUUUCCUAAUCCUUAUGACCACUGCUUGAGGCAGGUGAAGAUCCUGAGACACAAAAAGUUCAAAUAAUUUUCCAUAAAGCACACAGUUGAUAAAUAGCUGUGGCAAGAUUCAAACGUAGGAUGUUUAAUUCCCUGAUCUUAAGUCAUGGAGGAGGAAAACAGGUUAAUGGUCUCUCUACACAACUUAAUAGCCUGGUAAUUUCAGUUUUCACAUCUACCAAAUACAGAUCAGUUGUGAAGUUUAGUCAUGACACAAUCUGAAAACCUUGGCACUUACUGAAUGUUUAAUAGAUGUUUGAUAACUCUGAAUUUUCCCUAUGGUAAAUUUUUAUAAGCACUAUAAAGAAAAUGAAGAAGGCGAAGUAAUAGAGGGAAAAUGAAAAUGGUAGGAACCAUUUCAAACCACCGUGUGGUUGCGGAGGGUGGGCAGGAAGAAUGAUCUGCAUGUGCAAAGGCCCUGAGGUACACUGAAUAAGCUUGGGGUGGUCAAUGAACUGAGAGUGUAGUUGGAGAAAGUGGAAGUAUUUGAGGUUGGAGAAUGCACAAAGGACCUCCAGCGCCACGUCAAAAGGGAUGGAGAAGUUAAGAUUUCAUUUAUUUAUUUUUUUAAAUGAAAACGUAUAGCUUCAUUGACUAAAAGAGAGACCAUGCAAGGGGGAGCUUGUCUGGAUGAAUUUUGGCUGUCUCUUUUGAGCAACAUCAUUUCUCAUCUAUUUAUCUUCAAAAUCUCCAGCUAAGAGAAGGGGAAUGAUUGUGUAAUGUGACACACCCUUUUGUGGAUAAUUAUGUAAUACUACUAGGAUAAAAGCGUUUAGAGAGAGGAGGUAAUUUUACUCGUUCAGCCUAGAAUUUUUAGUAGAUAAAGAUAAAACUUUUCAAGCUGUCUCCACUACAUUGCCAUUUCUGUAAAGAAUCAAAUUACUCUCCUUUCUCCCUUUUACAAAAGAUUCGUGUCUUAAUUUAUCACAUGAAAUAAAAACAUUUACGUAAACUCUGCAAAUUGCAUCCCUGAGAAACCACAAAAGUCAAAAGAAAGUAAUUAAAGCAGGAUUAAUCAUAUAUAUGUUAUAUUUUUAACUUUCUAAAAGGUCACAGCUUGAUGAUUUAUGUUGCUACAAUAGUGAACCUGACAGGGAAUUACAACUUCUGAGAUAUUAGUGUUUAGCAGAUGGCAAUUUAUGACACUAAUCACUUAGUACCUAUAAGAAAAUUAUCUCGGUAAAUAUUCCAGACCACAUUGGAACUUAGGAGAUUCUUAAUAAACCGAUGAAAUAAUCACGAUGGUAAUUAUUACAGCGAAAGCCCAUUCUUUUAAGCAGCUGGACAGAAAAGAAAGGUCAAGAUUAAUGACCCUUUAGAGCCAAGAAGGGAACUUAGCACUUUCUGUGUUGUGGGUUACUCUGCCUUGAAGGGCUUGGUUGUGAAACACUAGCUGUAGGAUGUAUCCCCUCAUAUCACUAACCAUCAAAGAGGAUCGAUACAGAAAUGUGAAAGGUAGAGUUUCAGGUUCUAUAGUUUCCACUUGCAAUGUCACUGGUAAGUGAAAAGCCUGGGUUGAUUGCUUAGAAGAUUAAAUUGCUAUUACUGUUCACCUGGGGAGCAGAUUACAUGUCCUUUGUGAGUGUGCUCAGUUGGGGGAACUUGUGUGGUGUCUUGGAAAAAGAGCAGAAUUAAGAGGCAGAAGACUUAAUUUUGUUCACAGCAGACUAAAUAUAACCCUGGCUACGUCACUUAAUCUCUUUAGUUCUCAGCUUCCUCAGAAGUAAAAUGAAAACCAGAAAAUAGUGUCUCUUUUGCCUACUUCACUAGAUUUUUGAGGUUAAAAAAUAACAACGAAACUCUUAGUUACCUGUCAAGCAUUAUACUUUUGCAUUCAUCGCUAUAUUUUGUUUCACAGUAGAGAUCAGGAGGCUACUGUGUGGUCACUCUAGUGGGGUCAAUGUUUAUGCCAGGUCACACUUGAGUCACCCACCCACAUUUUGGGACCCAGGGGCUGCCUCACAUUAGGAGAGGCUGCAUUCUGGGAGAGGGGUUGUGGAGGCACAACUGUAUCUUUUUGGUCUCUUAUAAAAGCAACUCUAGCACUUUUCCUUUUUCUUCGGAGUCCAUGGUGUGGUUAGAAGAGUGGAACUCCUGCAAGGAGAGCAAGGCAGCUAGGUAGGCCUCCGCCAACCGAGACUUUCCAUACCCAGCUACACACUCUCACUGCUGCUUACAGAAAUUAUAAAUGCAGCUAAGAGACAUCUCUUCCAGAGAUUUCACUCCAUAUGUCUGCAAUUCAGUUGGUUUCUCUUCCUUUGCAUGAUGAAAAAUAGCAUCAUCUCUUUCAUUGCCAAAUACAGAAAGCUGGGAGUUGUUCUAGAUUUUUCUUCCUGUUCAACUCCGUGUCUUCACCCAACACCAACCCUGUAGAUCCCACUUCCUUAACUUGCAGCCACACAUCCCAUUCCAUUUGUGUUGCCUCUGACUUGAUGCUGGUUCUUUCGUCUUCACAGCACAUUUACUUCAGUAACUUCCUAACUGGGCUUCUCGGUCCAGAACCAGCUCUUAGAAGUCGCCCUCUUCUGUGAUGGCUACCUUCCUAACUUAGAGAGCUGACCAGCUUAUUUCCUUGCUAAGAAUUUGUUACUGCUCUCCAGAGCUUGCAAGUUUAUGGUAUGAUUUUAAUUCUUUGGCCCCAUCUCAGUCAAGCCUGAUCAUCUCACACCUCUCAGCAUGUCCUUUCCUCCGUCCAUAGCGUGCUUUUUCAUGCUUCUGCAAUUUCACCCAUGAUGCUAACACAGCCUAGAAAACUCUUCACCAUUAUAUGCCUGGCUAACUCGUAUUUAUUUUUAAAACUUCAGCUCUAUUGGCAUCUCUUUCCAAAAGCCUUCCUGAUACCUAGUCCUUUAGAUGUUGCUCCUCUGGGCUCUGUUAGUGCUCUGAGUAUACUGCUGCCGAAUUUGUUACUCCUCCUUAAUCCUAACCUUAAGGUUUUCCCGUGUAUUCCUAGACACCAGCAGUGCCUGGCUCGUAACCUGGUAUCCACUGUACUUCUCUGGAUUGGAUAAGUCAACACAGUCUAUAUAGGGGGGAACAUGCCACAGUGACAAUGAAAAUCACCCAUGUGAUUAGCUUGAUUGCCGCAAGGGAAGUCCAACCCUAACGACAAUACCUGUGAAGGCAGUAGAGUGAAGACUUAAGGAGGCAAAGGGGAACAAAUUGAAAAAGCGAGAAACUAGGAGACCAAAAGAAACUUAGGAUAAAUCUUACAGUGUUCUAGCCAAGGGUUGAAAUGUCUGUUAGGUUGCAGGCGCAUCCUUAAAGAGCGGGGCAGACUUUAUUGGAUUUGCAGUGUGUGAGAGGUAAGGAAUAGAUGGCGUAAAGGCAAGGGUAUGUUUGAAUGACUUGCGGAAAGUCAGGUUGGCUGCAGCAGAAUGAUCAAGGGUGCCAUGGGCUGAAUCCUGUCCCCUCUGAUUUCAUGUGCUGGAGUCUUAACCCCUGUGUUUGAAGAUAGAUCCUUUUAAAGAGAUGACUACAUUAAAAUGAAGGCGUGAGCCCUAAUCCUGUCUGACUGGUGUCCUUAUUAAAAGAGGAUAUUUGGACACAGAGAGACACCAGAGGAAAGACCAUGUGAGGACACAGUGAAAAGAUGGCCAUGUUCAAGCUAAGGAGAGACAUUUCGGAAGAAACUAAAUCCGGUGACACUGUGAGCGUCCAUGACUGUGGGAAAAUAAGUUUCUGUUGUUUCCGUCACCCAUUCUGGAGUAUUUUGUUACGGCAGCCCUAGCAAACUGGUCUAGAGAGGAUGAGUAAUGCACAAAGCCGGCAAAAUAACAGCAGUUUCGGCGGAGGGAACGGGGGAGAAUUAUGUUGUCAGGUCAUUGUAAAGAUUUAGGGUUUUAUUCUAGUGAAAGGGGAAGCCAGUGGAGGAUUCGGAGCCGGUGAAUAGGAUGAGCUGGCUUUUACUUUCAUGCAGAUGGGGAGCUGAUAAUCAGGAGUCAUGCUGAUAGGACAGUUAGUGUUGGCCACUGUGUAGGAGAGAAGAGGUAGAAAACCCUCAACGCCGAGAGGACCUUGAGAUGCUUCCUCCCUUCCAUUAAGCAAGUGAAAACACUAAAGAACAAAGGAAGAAAACUGAGGGUUCCAAAGUGACUUACCCAGGGUGACAGAGUAAUUGCAUACGCUCCCAGGAAUAGGAACCAGGCAUCCAGGGCUCUUUACUACUUUGUGCUUGGGGAGAGAUGCCUUUGGCUUCUCAUGGGAAGAACACAGUUGGAUCGCCUCAUGUUUGGGGGAGGCUGGCUGUGUAUCCUUGUGAGCAGUUAACACUUGAGUGAACUGUGGUGUCCACGGAAUACUC
rnacentral:lncRNA from 1 species